UGGGGAAUUUUGGACAAUGGGCGAAAGCCUGAUCCAGCAAUGCCGCGUGCAGGAUGAAGGCCUUCGGGUUGUAAACUGCUUUUGUACGGAACGAAACGGCGAGCUCUAAUAAAGUUUGCUAAUGACGGUACCGUAAGAAUAAGCACCGGCUAACUACGUGCCAGCAGCCGCGGUAAUACGUAGGGUGCGAGCGUUAAUCGGAAUUACUGGGCGUAAAGCGUGCGCAGGCGGUUAUAUAAGACAGAUGUGAAAUCCCCGGGCUCAACCUGGGACCUGCAUUUGUGACUGUAUAGCUAGAGUACGGUAGAGGGGGAUGGAAUUCCGCGUGUAGCAGUGAAAUGCGUAGAUAUGCGGAGGAACACCGAUGGCGAAGGCAAUCCCCUGGACCUGUACUGACGCUCAUGCACGAAAGCGUGGGGAGCAAACAGGAUUAGAUACCCUUGUAGUCCCUGAGCGGGCUGGCAAGGCGCAU
rnacentral:rRNA from 1 species